rnacentral:lncRNA from 13 species
AUGUCUUGGCUAAGAAAGCGGAGAAGUGACAUUUGCAGAGAAGAUGCCAUGGAAGAGAAAGGCAAACACAGACAGAGGCUCCUCCUUGAAAGAAGCUUCAACACCCGUGGAGAACCCUUGAUCUGUCACGUGCCCGUAGGCUGCAGUGAGAUUCUGCUGAUGUCUUGGGAAACCCACCUUUUCAAGAGAGGAUAUUUGAGGAAUCAUUUGGUCUGCAGGUCUCUACUCCUAACCAUCUGAAUUAUGCAAACGUCAACCCAGUUAAAUUCCAGUAAUAAAUGUUCAUCUCUGGAUAAUUUUCCUUUAAUC